rnacentral:rRNA from 1 species
GGGAUGUUAUUUAAUACGUUUCUAAGAGUCGAGUUGUUUGGGAAUGCAGCUCUAAAUGGGUGGUAAAUUUCACCUAAUGCUAAAUAUAAGCGAGAGACCGAUAGCGAACAAGUACAGUGAUGGAAAGAUGAAAAGAACUUUGAAAAGAGAGUUAAAUAGUAUGUGAAAUUGUUGAAAGGGAAACGAUUGAAGUCAGUCAUGCCRGUGGGAAUCAACUUWGAGGAAACUCUGAGUGCACUUCUUCGCUUGGCAGGUCAACGUCGAUUUUGGAUGUCAUAAAAUGAUUGGGGGAAGGUAGCUCCUUCGGGAGUGUUAUAGCCCUUGGUAGAUGUGAUGUCUGGGAUCGAGGAUUGCAAUGGAUACCCUUUGGGGCUAGCCGCCUGAUCUCUAAUYGGUAUUGGGUUACGGAUAGCAUGCUGACCGUGAUCUAAUUAUUGGUUAAAAGGUUAG